rnacentral:misc_RNA from 1 species
CCCUAACGGAUGAGAAGGGGUAAAAUGUGUUUUUAUUUAAUUGUACACAUAAUAUCGCGGGCGAAGCCCGCGUGACGGGGGAUGCUAGUAUUUUAUAAGACAGAUCGCAUUAUUCCCUUAUUAUUAUAAAAAACAAAUAUCUGUUUAUUAAGAUAUCUCAAUAUAUUUUUAAAUAUUUAUUUUAUAUUUGGAAUUAUGUCCACUUGGUAUCAGUGUAAUCUCGCCAACAGUUGCAGAGUUCUUGUCACAUCUGCUUGAAUGGCCAAGACAUUAUCGCAGCAAACUUUUUCCGCAGGAAAACAAAUCAAAAUGAAUUAUAAUUCAUAAUAUUCUAAUAUUAUAGAACUUGAGCUAUAUUUAGCAUCCGUAUGAGUUCAAAAAUUAAUAUUUUUCUUAAUAUUAAAAACUAUUAAACAUUUGAUCAUUUGGAGAAAUAAUUGUAUAUAAGUAUUCGAUUCGAGAAUUACACAGUGCUUGUCUGACAAGGUUUACGUUAUUUACAAAAUAUUUCUUUGUAAGAAAAUAAAAUGAUAUCUUCCUACAAUGUUUCGUAUUCGAUGAACAUAGAAUAAAAUUAUUGAAAAUUUGCAUCAACAAUAAUGUUAAAAAAUACUUAUGAUUAUAACAUUCUUCAUAUAUGAUAAUAAGUAAUAGUUACGUAUGUAUGAUUAUUAUAAGGAAUAUUUCUUAUUAUUUAAAUUGAAAGGUUUUUUUUUAUUUAAAUAAUUAAAUUAUUAUCUGCAGCUAGCAACAUUCAGCACAUCAGGAUUCCACAUGAAAAUUCUUUUAAAGAUUUUAUCACAAACGCUCCCAUGUUUGAUGUAUAUCUUGAAAUACCUUUCUUUUGUGGUGAAUAAUAAAGAAGUAAGUAGACAGUUCGCAAACAAAUAUUAACAUCAAAAUAAUAGACAUCGCUUCUAAUACAUACAUUUAUAUAUGUACAUAUACAUAUAUGUAAAUUAUUCGCAAGUUUAGAUAAAAGAGUGCUAUGAACAGAUUUGCCAUGAAUGGACGCUAUUGAAAGUUCGAAGUGAGAUUAAUAUAUUAAAUAUGCCAAUUUCUCCAGAUUAUUUGGAGUUUUCAUAACGGGUAAAAAUUUGAUGCAAUUACAUUGUUUCUUUUUAUUAUCUCAAAGUAAUAAGCAAAAUUUGUGCAUUAACAAUAUUUAAAGUUAAGAUGAAAUUUAUGAAGAAUUUACUAUAUAUAUAAUGCAAAAAAAACAUACGUGUAAUUUGUGGAAUUUACGGUAUCGCUUUGUAGGCACGAGGUUUCAACAAGCAAAAUUUGAUGAUGUAACAAAUUUUAUAAAUGCCAUUUACACAACUUUUUUUGCAUUUGGUAGUGGGGAUGUUCAUAACUCUUGCCGUUUUUGGUUUCUACCAAUUUCUACCAGAUUUACUCGAUAUGAUUGCACCACUUAACGAUUCUCGCAAGCACUUUCUUACAUUCGACGCCGAGUAUUUUGUCGAUCAGAAAGAAUAUUUUUAUCCUAUCGUAACGCAUGGCUUGACAGCUGUUUUAUAUCGGAGGCACUGGAAUAGUCGCUACUGGUGGAAUGCUAAUGGGAUACAUACUUCAUAUCUGUGCAACGUUGAAGAUAGCGAGGUAAAAAUUGUUAAAGAGAAUUAUAAAAUCACUUUUAAGCGGGAAAGAAAUAAAAUAACGUUAAACUGCAUAUAUAUUAUUUAAUUAUUUAUAUAAAAAAAUUAAUGACAAACUACUAAGGAUGCCUUAGUAAUUCGCGAUCAUUAUUUAUAGUUUAAUUAUCUUCCGUCAAUUAUUCUAUUAUUCCAUUUUAUUCUAUUAUUGAAUAUUAUUACAAAUAUUAAAAAUAAAAAUAGAACUCGUACAUUUCUUUCUUUGAAAAUUGUUAUCAAUUAUAUAAUUUAUAUAAGUACUUGCAUUUGUUCCAACAAAUUUGAAUCGCAUAAAAAUCUUGUGCGACUUUACAGUUAUCGUCUUGACCAUAUAACCGAUGAUGUACCAUUAGUAUCGAGUGUUGAAAAAGAUCACAUUAUUCGUGAGAGAAUAAUCAGCGCUGUUGAUAUUCAUCGAAGAGCAAAAUCGAGUUAGUUUCAUGUAUCAAUGAACUGAAACGAACAAGCACAACAGUUACAUAAUUCUUUGCUAUCUGUAUUUCAAUAGGUUUGCAGAAUUUGUCGUCUCCAGUUUUAUGAUAUUUUAUUUUAUUUUAAUUGGCAUAGGUAUCUUGUCGUUAACUCUCAACAUGUUUCAAGUGAGUAUAUAUUUACGGUUGCGAAUUUCACGAUUCCGAUGCAGGAAUAAAUAUUUCCGAAGAUCAAAUGCAGGCGAUAACGAUAAAUUGAUAUUGGGACUUUAUCUCAUGCUGCAUAUACAUGCAUACAUGCUAUACAUGCUAUACAUGCAUACAUUAUUUAAGCAUGUAUGAAGAAAUCACGAUAUAUAUAUUUAUACAUUUGUACAAAACAUAAUUAUCAUGCAGAGUAUAUACUGAAUUAAACACUAGAUAUGAUUGAAGUAUAAUAUUUUAUAGAAGAAAAUUCGCGUUACAGCGUCUGCAAUUUAUGCUAUUAACGGACGAUGUAAACGGAAUGUUAGCAUGUGUCCUACUAAUAAUAGGCCACUUAAAUUAUUUAUUCAUAGCUAACAUGGCUGGACAGAUAGUUACAGAUCAUAAUAUCGAUAUUUUUUAUACAACCUAUACAACGCGAUGGUAUACGGUAUCGGCACAAUUGCAAAAAUUGUUGCUUUUCAUAAUGCAAAAAACUACAAAAAAUUACUAUUUUAUUGUCGGUGGCAUCUUCGCCGCUUCUUUAGAGGGUUUUGCCACGGUAAGGCAACCGCAAUCACAAUUUAGCUUCGCACUUGAAAUCGUUUGAGUAACACUAAUAAAUUAAUUAACUCUAAUAAAUACACAUUUCAGAUGAUGAGUACGUCAAUAUCUUAUUUUAUGGUGAUUUACUCCACAAGUUGAUGUACAUGUACAAUUUCAUGUAGAAUGCGACAAACCGCUAAGUAGUCAAUUGUAGAUAUACGCGACAUGACUGAGAGAGCAGGUGCAGAUGCUUCUCGGGUAUGAUGUGUUUCGACAACUUCCACGAAGAAAGAUUAUUUGGUAAAUUAAGAACUUAUAGUUUACGGUAACAUGUGUUAAAUCGCAUUAAUCUGAUCGUAGAAGAAACAUAGAAGAAGAAACAUUAAUCAAAUCGGUGCAACUAAAAAGAACCAAAACUCAUUAUCGAAAUUUCUUUACCGCUUUUUUUUAACUCUUACAUUCUCCUUUUCAUGUGCUAUCCAUGUAUUUAUAUAUUAUUGUUAUAUAUCAUUUUUAUGUAUUGUAUCAUCUGUUACAGUAUAUUAUUCAAUAAAUUUCACUUACGCUUGGGAAGAAACUAUUUUACACGUCCUUUAAUGUGUCUUUUUGUCAUUUUUGUAUUUCUGACACAAUCUCACUCAUGAAGAGCACUCACGUAACAAAACAUUCAUAGCGCGAUACUUGACAUUACUGACAACAAUGAGGCCGUUCGACGAGUCAUGUGAAAGUUCACAGCCGCGCUUGCGCUACCGUCAAAAAGGAAGGCGUAUUUUUCUCCCCUUUCUUCCUGGGAAAACCGCAUUGGGCGAGCAGAAUGCUGUUUCAAUAAUUUAACUUCUUGUCACUCCCCCCAAUGAAAAAACCACGACCGCAUGCGACCGAUUGACUCUUCCCUAAGUCGACAAACUGCCAUAAUAUUUCCCUCAAUUACGCAUUGCCAGUGGCAACAGUUUGCAAAAACAUCGACGAGAGUCUGGAAGCGGUUGAAUUUAUUCCAGCAGAAGACAUACGAAACGAUAUCUCGAUAUUAUUUUUUCCAACAUGUCUUUGAAUCGCAGAGAGAGAGAUAGCAUCGGAAAUCAGUACAAAAUAUAUCGUAUACUUCUCUUGUCACUGAGCGUAUGGCCGUUUCAGCAGUCGAAAUACACGAUACUUAUACGUUCUUUCCACUUUGGUAUAAUGAUAUCUUUUACAUUCUUUCAGCUCACAUCAUUCCUUACAAAUGAAUUAGUUCUGGAUGUCGUUAUUAUGAUUCUCUCAUAUGCCUUACCAUCCUGUAUAUGCAUGAUACAGUAUCACUCAUUUUGUUCAAAUUCUUACAUAGUGAAACGAAUAUGGGAAGAUAUCUAUAGCACUUGGAAUUUGAUGAGAAACGAAACAGAACACAAAAUAAUGCGACAAUAUAAAGCUAAAGCUGAAUACCACACGAAACUGUUUCUAACGAUUAUCAUCUCAAGCUGCAUUAUAUAUGGGAUUUUUGAAGCAAUGCCAGUCAUUCUCGACAUAAUCCUACCAUUAAAUAAGACCCGUCCACGCGAGAUUCAUGCUUUGUUAGAAUAUUUUAUCGACAAGGACGCAUACUUUUUUCCGAUCUUAUGCCAUUGGUUGAUUGGUCUGAUUAUUGGUUGUUAUGUUAUUAUAUGCGUAACUACAUCACUGCUGGUGUGUUUGCAACAUAUUAGUGGAUUAUUCAAAGUUGCCAACUAUCGUAUCGAACAUUCAGCUGAUGAUUACGUAUUUUAUAAUUCUACACAGGAGAACAAUCGCAUCGAAAACUUUAUUCGAAACAUAAGCGCCGCGGUGGAUAUACAUCAAACAGCCAUCGAGCGAUGCGAAUAUCUACUAGAUAAUUUUAUCAAACAUUUUUUCUUCAUGCUGGUAAUUGGCGUUACAUCUUUAAGUUUAAAUUUGUUCCGACUACUCAAAGCGAUUAUUACGCUAGAUGAAGUCGAGAUAGUUUCAUCAAUAUUAUUUACUAGUGGACAUUUUGUAAUUAUGUUUGUGAUUAAUUACUACGGGCAACAAAUUACAGAUUAUCAUAGCGAAAUUUUUACUGCUGCAUAUAACGUACGAUGGUACGUGACGCCAGUAAAGAUCCAAAAGUUGCUAUUAUUCAUUAUGCAAAGCACUACGAAAGCCUAUUAUUUAAAUAUAGGCAACUUAAUUGUAGCUUCGAUAGAAGGUUUUUCUAAGCUCGUAAGUAUGGCGAUAUCAUACUUCACGCUAAUCUAUUCUUUGCUGUGAUAAUAAACAAUACAGUUGGAUCGAUCACCGAUUAUAAAUAAUAUGUAGUAAAAAGUAUGUUAAAUGAUGGCAUAAUAUGCACUAGAAACAUACUACUUGUUAUGGGUAGUUCGAUUAUUAACAUCUGUAAGAAUAAAUAGAUAUAUAUGGAUGAAAGGAGACAUUUUUUAAUUUAGCUUCUUUUGUCUCAUAAAAUAUAAGUUGCUGCAGUAAACUUCGUCAGCGACGUAAACGAGCAUAUAUCUUCGAUAUAGUUAUAUCUACUAUAUAGAUAUCUACUAAAUUAUAUAAUACUAUAUACUAUAUAGAUAUCUACGGUAUAAAUAUAUAGUUUACUGCAAUUUUAUAAUCCAUAUCCAGUUUAUAGAGAAUAUUGCAUUGCAAUAUUAUUUUACAGAGGACACAAUUGGGUCGGGGGGCUGAAAUGGAAAUAAACCUUUUUCAGACCGUGACAGCAACAACACGCAAAUACGCUUGCGUUGCAUCAAUGGGGAGGGCUACAAUUGCUUAUAAAAAAUUACUGGUAAAAAGGGAGAACACUUGCAUGACUUUCUCCGAACAUCUGCAUGCGUCAUAGGUUCCUUCGUUUCGUUCGUGUCCCGGUAUAUUUACACCAUCCCCUUUGAGAGAAAGCUCGAUUUUUUCUUUUCUUCACUAUAGGCCAUGUUGGCAUAGAGGGGAAAAAAUAAAUUGUACGGGAAACGCUUAAAUUGCUGUAACUGUCACUCAUCCUACGACGUUGUGCCUCUCGCCGUCUGUUAUGCACGGCAAAAUGACCAAAAAAUUCGACAGAAGGAAGUUAUGUUACGGAGUAUGCGCAAAAGUGAAAUCUGCACUUGCGGAAAUCUGUUUGUCAUUCGCGUUUCGACCAUCGCGGAAGAAUGAACUGGUAGAUCUCUACGAUCACUACCAUGGACUUGUUCACUCAUUUGACUGGUCGAAUUAUAAUCUUAUAGGACAAUCAAAUUUCGGUGAGUGUUUCCGUACAAUCUAUAUUUUUUUGUCUGCUUCAUAUAUGCUUAUUCAGGUAGCGUUUAUACAUUUCUCUACUUUUUUGUAAUAAGUUUAAAGUGAUGUUCAAAUAAUGACGUAUUCUUGUAGACAUCUAUGUGUCUACAUGAGACGUAUACGCAUACACGUAUACGCAUACACGUGAAAUAGUGUAUUGCGCACGCAUAGUUUGAAAAAUAACCGGAUUGAAAUUAUGUGAAUUUGAAUCUUGAUCUGUAAAAUGUGUAUGUGUAAAAA